CAAUAGCGUAUAUUAAAGUUGUUGCGGUUAAAAAGCUCGUAGUUGGAGUUCUGCCAGGUGACGCUCGUCCGCCCAAGUGGUGUGUACAGGGCGUGCAUCUGGCCCUUUCAAGGGGAACGUGUCUGCUCUUUAUUGAGUGGUGCGACGAUACCUUUGCAUGACUUUUACUUUGAGGAAAUCAGAGUGUUCCAAGCAGGCUCUCGUCGUGUAUAGCUCAGCAUGGAAUAAUAGCAUUGGACUUCGUUUCUAAGCUGUUGGUUGCAAGAAGCGAGGUAAUGAGUGAAGAGGGAUUAGUUGGGGGCAUUCGUAUUUAACUGUCAGAGGUGAAAU
rnacentral:rRNA from 1 species